AUGGUUUCCCAUAGGAUCCUACUGGACAAAAUGUCCAGUGUACAACUUGACAAAAACAUCAUACAAUGGGUGAGCAAUUGGGUGAUGGACAGGGCUCAAAGGGUUGUGGUUAAUGGGGUCACAUCUGGCUGGCAGAUGGUCACUAAUGGGGUCCCUCAAGGCUUCAUUUUAGGGCCAGUCCUCUUCAAUGUCUUUAUAAAUGACUUGGAUGUAGGACUAGAAGAUGUUUUGAGCAAAUUUGCCAACGACACCAAACUUGGAGGAGUUGCGGACUUGGAUGAGGGUGGAAAGGCCUUGCAGAGAGAUCUGGACAGAUUGAAGAGAUGGGCGAUCACCAACCGCAUGAAGUUUAACAAAGACUUACAAGAGGAAAUUGUUACAGAUGUUGUGUUUUGAGGAUGGCUGAUCCUGUGCUUGGAAGCCAGCCAGAGAUCAUGAGGAUUGCGACUCUUCUUGAGCUUAUUACAAUGACAUUAUGAAGAACAGAAGAACAGCUUCAACCAGAUCAAAAUCAAUUUAUUCAGCUUUUUACUGCAAAGGAAGGGAAAGCCUCUGCGCGUUACAGCCUUGAGCUUCUUUCUGACUAAUGAUGCUGUGCUUACUUCAAAUUGAAAUGGGCUUCCCAAAAGUCGAAUUUUUAAAAGGUUUUCUGAAGUCUGGAGAAAGGUAAGAGAAAAGCAGAAACUACUUUUUAUCAGAAAACAAAUGAAUAAAUAAGCCUAGUGUCAAAGUAACGUGCUUGACACUAGGUGGCAGACAAGGCAACCAGGAAAAUCCUUGAGCAAACUAACCCUAGCUGUGUGUUCUUUUGUGGUUGUGUAGCUCCUUGUAGUUUAUCAUCUCUUGACAAAUAUGCAGCAAAAGCAAGGAGUCAGUACAGCAAAUACGCUACUUGCAGUAGAGAUUUCUUUCACAUGCUAUUGAUUGACCAUAUCUUUUAGUGUUCAUGAUUAUUCGAGGAGUGAAUAACAUUUUGAGAAGCCAUUGACUGUAAAAACCACUUUUUUUUUUUAAUGGUGUUAUGCAGUGUAAUACUUAUAAAUAUAUGCAUAAAUCUAAAAGAAUAUAUAUAUUUCAUAAUAUCUGUCAAAAAAGCCUUUCUAAAACUCUUAAUAAAACUUUGAUAAAACUCUUGAUAAAUAUCUUGAUAGAUAUCAAGACUGGAAGAAGUAAACUGUAUUCUUGGCUUCACUGCAGAUUUUUUUGAUGACUCAUAUAUCAAUAAUUUUCUCAGCUUCAGCCUUACAAACUGUGAAAUAGAAUAUUACUUCUUCCUUUCUUCCACAUCUGUAGACAAGUAAAUUCAUUAAAAAUUACUCAAAUGUUUUCAUUUUCUAAGACAUUUUCAAUUUAAAGAAAAUCAUUGGAUUUUGGAGUUGGAAUGCAUAAAGAAAUAAAAUUAAAUACAUAUUAUUUGCUCAUUUAAGGGACCUCGGUCUUUCUAGAUUCUUUUAGAUUUUUUGCAUGCCAGGAAUGUUAAGAUGAAAGUCAAAAACUUUAAAGAGUAAGGCUAUAAUGUGAUUUUCAGUUCCUUAGAAGCUUUUGGGGUGAUAAACUUUUAAUGAGAAAAAAAUUAAACUCUCUAAAAAGGCCUGAUCUUUAACAGAAUUAUUAUUAUUAUUGUUAUUGUUAUUAAUGAGAAAAAGUCUGUAGGGUAAAACUUGAAUUUUAUUACCCUCCUAGUUGUUAAGAUUCAAUGUAAACACACACAUCACAUCCUUCUUAGCUGUCAGCAAAACCAGCUGAAACAGCAGCAAUGAUAAUUUAAUUUAUAUAAAAAUUAUCUAUCCAAGUGGUCAAGAACCUUUACAAGAAGAUACAUAAACAAAUAGAGAACAAUAUGAGUGUGGGCUUUUCUCAGCCAGUUAAAAUUGAAGAUAAUGUGAAGUUAUCUAAAAAAUAAUGUAAUCAAUCUUCACUUCUAAUUAACUGUUAAAUAUCAGGAAUUUUGUAAAUGAUGAACAGAUAAAAUCACUAUGAAAGUUAGGUGAAAUAUAAGCCAAAGAGGAAUAGGAAGUUUUCUCAAUCUUCAGUGUUAUACAUAUCUUGACUGACCUGAUUACCAGAGAUAUGAGGCAAAGGUAUUUAUCCACUGAAUCUGAAUGCAUUUGUUGUAUGCUGACAUUUAUUCAUUUGAAAAUAUGCUGCAUAAGUUAAAGAGUAGAAGCUCAGAAUACACUGUCUUGAAUACUAGGCUACCGAUGUGCAGUGGAUUUGAUGUCUCUGUGUGUAUGUAAUUGUAAACUGAAUCCAGACACAGUUGCUGUUCACUUUAAUAACACUGAAUUAGCUAUCUUCAAAACCAGGACAACUUUUCUCAAUUUCCUUGUUUAUGCUGCAGUUGCCAACAAUGUCAUUGUCUGCCAUAGGCUUGCUUUAUAUACAGACUAUGCUCUUAUGUUGCAUUCAUUCUGAUUUCCAAGUGGAAGUGGUACUAAUGGGUUUCUUAGGCACUUACUACAAAAAUAAUUUGUCUUGUUGGCAGUUUUAGAUACUCAGGAAUUCUAUGUACUUGUCUUCACUUUGCAGAUCAUCUUUUUUUGGCACUUAAAUAUCACAGGAGGGACUUCCUGACUGGAGAUAGCACUUAGUGUAUUACAUGUGCUGUGCAUUCUUUUUGGCUCCAAGACUAUACAUAGAAACAAGUGUUUGGCUCUAGCAGGCAAAACAAAAAAGUAUAACUUAUGUCAGCAGAAAACUUGAGGUCAAUAUAGUUUCAACAGCAAGAAUACUCAUGCUUUUUUACCACUCCAAAGAUAUCUGUGGAUCACAUAUUUUGACUUGGUCAAUUUUCUUUUUCUUUAACCUUUCUCUUCCUUCCUUCCUUCCUUCCUUCCUUCCUUCCUUCCUUCCUUCCUUCCUUCCUUCCUUCCUUCCUUCCUUCCUUCCUUCCUUCCUUCCUUCCUU
ensembl:lncRNA